AUUGAACGCUGGCGGCAGGCCUAACACAUGCAAGUCGAGCGAGCGGCGGACGGGUGAGUAAUGUAGGGGGACCGCCCGAUAGAGGGGGAUCACUACUGGAAACGGUGGCUAAUACCGCAUACUCUCGUAUAACCCAUAUGGGAUUAGCGAGUAGGUGGGGUAAAGGCUCACCUAGGAGACGAUCUCUCGCUGGUCUGAGAGGAUGCUCAGCCACACUGGGACUGAGACACGGCCCAGACUCCUACGGAGGCAGCAGUGGGGAAUAUUGCACAAUGGGCGCAAGCCUGAUGCAGCCAUGCCGCGUGUAUGAAGAAGGCCUUAGGGUUGUAAAGUACUUUCAGCGGGGAGGCGUUACCCGCAGAAGAAGCACCGGCUAACUCCGUGCCAGCAGCCGCGGUAAUUC
rnacentral:rRNA from 1 species